rnacentral:rRNA from 1 species
AGAGUUUGAUCCUGGCUCAGAUUGAACGCUGGCGGCAUGCUUUACACAUGCAAGUCGAACGGCAGCACGGGGGCAACCUUGGUGGCGAGUGGCGAACGGGUGAGUAAUAUAUCGGAACAUAUCCGGAAGUGGGGGAUAACGUAGCGAAAGUUACGCUAAUACCGCAUAUGCCCUGAGGGGGAAAGGGGGGGAUCGCAAGACCUCUCGCUUUCGGAGUGGCCGAUAUCGGAUUAGCUAGUUGGUGAGGUAAAGGCUCACCAAGGCGACGAUCCGUAGCUGGUCUGAGAGGACGACCAGCCACACUGGGACUGAGACACGGUCCAGACUCCUACGGGAGGCAGCAGUGGGGAAUAUUGGACAAUGGGCGAAAGCCUGAUCCAGCCAUGCCGCGUGUGUGAAGGCCUUAGGGUUGUAAAGCUCUUUUACCCGGGAUGAUAAUGACAGUACCGGGAGAAUAAGCUCCGGCUAACUCCGUGCCAGCAGCCGCGGUAAUACGGGGGGGGCAAGCGUUGUUCGGAAUUAUUGGGCGUAAAGGGCGCGUAGGCGGUCAGACUAAGUCGAAUGUAAAAUACCAAGGCUUAACCUAGGCAGGUCGUUCGAUACUAGUCGACUAGAGUGUGGAAGGGGUUACUGGAAUUCCUGGUGUAGCGGUGAAAUGCGUAGAUAUCAGGAGGAACACCGGAGGCGAAGGCGGGUAACUGGGCCAACACUGACGCUGAGGCGCGAAAGCUAGGGGAGCAAACAGGAUUAGAUACCCUGGUAGUCC